UAUUCCCUGACGACGGAAACCGUGCUGGUUUCGACCUCCGUUAUAGACCAGCAGAAAGCUGUCACCGGUUGGAAACUGGUACGGGUCCCCGAGUCAGUC
rnacentral:pre_miRNA from 14 species